CCUACGGGAGGCAGCAGUGAGGAAUAUUGGUCAAUGGACGAGAGUCUGAACCAGCCAAGUAGCGUGAAGGAUGACUGCCCUAUGGGUUGUAAACUUCUUUUAUAUGGGAAUAAACUGUUCCACGUGUGGGAUUUUGUAUGUACCAUAUGAAUAAGGAUCGGCUACCUCCGUGCCAGCAGCCGCGGUAAUACGGAGGAUCCGAGCGUUAUCCGGAUUUAUUGGGUUUAAAGGGAGCGUAGGUGGAUUGUUAAGUCAGUUGUGAAAGUUUGCGGCUCAACCGUAAAAUUGCAGUUGAAACUGGCAGUCGUGAGUACAGUAGAGGUGGGCGGAAUUCGUGGUGUAGCGGUGAAAUGCUUAGAUAUCACGAAGAACUCCGAUUGCGAAGGCAGCUCACUGGACUGCAACUGACACUGAGGCUCGAAAGUGUGGGUAUCAAACAGGAUUAGAGACCCCUGUAGUC
rnacentral:rRNA from 1 species